rnacentral:rRNA from 1 species
AUUGAACGCUGGCGGCAGGCUUAACACAUGCAAGUCGAACGGCAGCACAGCAGUAGCAAUACUGUGGGUGGCGAGUGGCGGACGGGUGAGGAAUACGUCGGAAUCUGCCCAGUCGUGGGGGAUAACUAGCCGAAAGGUUAGCUAAUACCGCAUACGACCGAGAGGUGAAAGCGGGGGACCGCAAGGCCUCGCGCGAUUGGAUGAGCCGACGUCGGAUUAGCUAGUUGGCGGGGUAAAGGCCCACCAAGGCGACGAUCCGUAGCUGGUCUGAGAGGAUGAUCAGCCACACUGGAACUGAGACACGGUCCAGACUCCUACGGGAGGCAGCAGUGGGGAAUAUUGGACAAUGGGCGCAAGCCUGAUCCAGCAAUGCCGCGUGUGUGAAGAAGGCCUCGG